AAGUCGUAACAAGGUCUCCGUAGGUGAACCUGCGGAGGGAUCAUUAACACUUUUUCUUAGGAAAGAGCUUAACACUCUUUUCUUUUACCAACCGUGAACUAACUUAUGCCCCCCGAUUGGUCUAUGCUAACUUUUCGUUAGUUAGGCUGGUCCAUUUUUUUUUCUAUUGUUAUUUCAAACCUUUUAUCCAACUACUAACACUAUAGCCAUACAGUACUUUUUUACAUAGAUUUGUUUCUAUGUAGUUUAGUACAGUGAUAUAGUAAAGUAACUAACAGCACAACUCUUAGCAAUGGAUAUCUCGGUUCUC
rnacentral:misc_RNA from 1 species